CAUAAUCUCUGAGGAGAAAAGCAGGGGAUCGCAAGACCUUGCGCUUUUGGAGCGGCCGAUGUCUGAUUAGCUUGUUGGCAAGGUAAAAGCUUACCAAGGCUUCGAUCAGUAGCUGGUCUGAGAGGACGACCAGCCACACUGGGACUGAGACACGGCCCAGACUCCUACGGGAGGCAGCAGUGGGGAAUUUUGGACAAUGGGGGCAACCCUGAUCCAGCCAUGCCGCGUGAGUGAAGAAGGCCUUCGGGUUGUAAAGCUCUUUCAGCCGGAACGAAACGGUCACGGUUAAUACCCGUGACUACUGACGGUACCGGAAGAAGAAG
rnacentral:rRNA from 1 species